rnacentral:rRNA from 1 species
GACGAACCGUGCGAACGUUAUUCGGAAUCACUGGGCUUAAAGCGCGUGUAGGCGGGAGGGCACGUCCGACGCUGAAAUCCCCCGGCUCAACCGGGGAACGGGCGCGGAUACGACCCUCCUGGAGGGACGUAGGGGGACCUGGAACUUCCGGUGGAGCGGUGAAAUGCGUUGAGAUCGGAAGGAACGCCCGUGGCGAAAGCGAGGUCCUGGACGUCUGCUGACGCUGAGACGCGAAAAGCCAGGGG